rnacentral:rRNA from 1 species
GAUGAACGCUGGCGGCGUGCCUAAUACAUGCAAGUCGAGCGAACGGACGAGAAGCUUGCUUCUCUGAUGUUAGCGGCGGACGGGUGAGUAACACGUGGAUAACCUACCUAUAAGACUGGGAUAACUUCGGGAAACCGUAGCUAAUACCGGAUAAUAUUUUGAACCGCAUGGUUCAAAAGUGAAAGACGGUCUUGCUGUCACUUAUAGAUGGAUCCGCGCUGCAUUAGCUAGUUGGUAAGGUAACGGCUUACCAAGGCAACGAUGCAUAGCCGACCUGAGAGGGUGAUCGGCCACACUGGAACUGAGACACGGUCCAGACUCCUACGGGAGGCAGCAGUAGGGAAUCUUCCGCAAUGGGCGAAAGCCUGACGGAGCAACGCCGCGUGAGUGAUGAAGGUCUUCGGAUCGUAAAACUCUGUUAUUAGGGAAGAACAUAUGUGUAAGUAACUGUGCACAUCUUGACGGUACCUAAUCAGAAAGCCACGGCUAACUACGUGCCAGCAGCCGCGGUAAUACGUAGGUGGCAAGCGUUAUCCGGAAUUAUUGGGCGUAAAGCGCGCGUAGGCGGUUUUUUAAGUCUGAUGUGAAAGCCCACGGCUCAACCGUGGAGGGUCAUUGGAAACUGGAAAACUUGAGUGCAGAAGAGGAAAGUGGAAUUCCAUGUGUAGCGGUGAAAUGCGCAGAGAUAUGGAGGAACACCAGUGGCGAAGGCGACUUUCUGGUCUGUAACUGACGCUGAUGUGCGAAAGCGUGGGGAUCAAACAGGAUUAGAUACCCUGGUAGUCCACGCCGUAAACGAUGAGUGCUAAGUGUUAGGGGGUUUCCGCCCCUUAGUGCUGCAGCUAACGCAUUAAGCACUCCGCCUGGGGAGUACGACCGCAAGGUUGAAACUCAAAGGAAUUGACAGGGACCCGCACAAGCGGUGGAGCAUGUGGUUUAAUUCGAAGCAACGCGAAGAACCUUACCAAAUCUUGACAUCCUCUGACUCCUCUAGAGAUAGAGUUUUCCCCUUCGGGGGACAGAGUGACAGGUGGUGCAUGGUUGUCGUCAGCUCGUGUCGUGAGAUGUUGGGUUAAGUCCCGCAACGAGCGCAACCCUUAAGCUUAGUUGCCAUCAUUAAGUUGGGCACUCUAAGUUGACUGCCGGUGACAAACCGGAGGAAGGUGGGGAUGACGUCAAAUCAUCAUGCCCCUUAUGAUUUGGGCUACACACGUGCUACAAUGGACAAUACAAAGGGUAGCGAAACCGCGAGGUCAAGCAAAUCCCAUAAAGUUGUUCUCAGUUCGGAUUGUAGUCUGCAACUCGACUACAUGAAGCUGGAAUCGCUAGUAAUCGUAGAUCAGCAUGCUACGGUGAAUACGUUCCCGGGUCU